CGGGAUAGCUCAGCUGGUAGAGCAGAGGACUGAAAAUCC
rnacentral:tRNA from 1 species